rnacentral:rRNA from 1 species
AUUGAACGCUGGCGGCAUGCCUUACACAUGCAAGUCGAACGGCAGCACGGGAGCAAUCCUGGUGGCGAGUGGCGAACGGGUGAGUAAUGUAUCGGAACGUACCUUUCAGUGGGGGAUAACGUAGCGAAAGUUACGCUAAUACCGCAUAUUCUGUGAGCAGGAAAGCAGGGGAUCGCAAGACCUUGCGCUGAUUGAGCGGCCGAUAUCAGAUUAGCUAGUUGGUGAGGUAAAGGCUCACCAAGGCGACGAUCUGUAGCGGGUCUGAGAGGAUGAUCCGCCACACUGGAACUGAGACACGGUCCAGACUCCUACGGGAGGCAGCAGUGGGGAAUUUUGGACAAUGGGCGCAUGCCUGAUCCAGCCAUGCCGCGUGAGUGAAGAAGGCC